rnacentral:rRNA from 1 species
UUGUCUUUUAAAUAAAGACCCGUAUGAAUGGCAAGACGAGGGCUUAGCUGUCUCCUUUUUCAGGUCAAUGAAAUUGAUCUUUCCGUGCAGAAGCGGGAAUAUUUUCAUAAGACGAGAAGACCCUAUGAAGCUUUAGACACCAAGACAGAUCACGUCAAGGCCCCCUAAUAAAGGACUAAAACUAACUGAGCCCUGUCCUAAUGUCUUUGGUUGGGGCGACCACGGGGAACUACAAAACCCCCGCGUGGAACGAAAGCACCACCCCGCUUUUACAACUAAGAGCCUCUGCUCUAAUAAACAGAAUAUCUGACCAACAAGAUCCGGCAACGCCGAUCAACGAACCGAGUUACUCUAGGGAUAACAGCGCAAUCCUCUUUUAGAGUCCAUAUCGACAAGAGGGUUUACGACCUCGAUGU